rnacentral:lncRNA from 1 species
GCGGUGACUGAAGGCAGAUUUUUUUUAAUUUAAUCUCCCCACCGAACACACACCUGUAUAAUAUAUCAUUGGAAAGAGGAAAUCGUGUACUAUAAUAAUAUGCCUGUCGUCAGGACUUGAUAUGGUCACAUUUUUUUUAAUUGAGGUCAAAGGUCAUAUGUAAAAAUCUGUGAAAAUUUGGGAGGGUUUCAAUUUUGACAUUUUUU